rnacentral:lncRNA from 1 species
GUUGGAUAAGCUUCUUCAGCCCAAGGCCCAAGACGUUGUUAACAAGUCGGUUAACAAUACGAUAGGUCUAAAAGGAUAUUUUCCUUAAUAGGACGUUUUCCUUAUUCUUUUAGAAGUAGGUUUAGGGAAAUUAGAAUCCUAUAUAUAUGUGUUUAUUGAGCUGUGAUAAACACAAGAUAAGCAUAAGAGCUUGGAUGUUUAGUUUUGAGCUAUUUUCUAAUCAUCAAAUAAGAAGAGUUAUUUCUUAUACAAAGAGCUGUGUUCUUGCUUAUACGACUUUAUUUGGUAUCAGAGCAAAUCAAAGAAGGAGAAGAAGCCGAGUAGAAGACAACACCCGAAAGUAUGGCAGAAGAAGGAGCCGAUUCCGACAAGGCCAUUACGACCACUGUAACUGCUCGGAAGGAAACAAUUCCUUCAGCGAUCCAAUGCCCAAUGUUGACAACUACAAAUUACUCGAUUUGGGCCAUGAGAAUGAGAGUAAUGCUGCGACUUCAUAAAGCGUGGGAAACAAUCGAGCCAGGCUCGACAGACCCUGAGAAGAAUGACAUCGCAUUAGGUUUACUCUACCAAUCAAUCCCGGAAAACCUAAUAUUACAAAUCAAUGAUCAGACUUCACCAAAAGAGAUUUGGAAUUCGAUCAAGACGCGUAAUUUAGGUGCAGAGCGUGUCAAGGAGGCACGACUGCAGACCUUGAUGUCUGAGUUCGAGAAGAUGAAGAUGGAGGACUCAGAGACCAUCGACGACUUUGCUGGGAAGCUGUCUCAGCUCGCGUCAAAAGCUAAUGCACUCGGAGAAACGAUUGAGGAGCAGCGGUUAGUAAAGAAAUUUUUAAACAGCUUGCUGCGAAGCAAAUUCAUUCAGAUCGUCGCUUCCCUUGAGCAAGUACUCGACCUGAAGACGACAGGGUUCGAAGACAUAAUCGGACGUUUAAAAGCUUAUGAAGAGAGAAUCAAAGGAGACACUAAAGAAGACGAUUCACAAGCCAAGCUUUUAUACGCAAACACAGACCAAAGUAACUCUCGAGGAGGCAGAGGAAACAGAGGUCGAGGAGGCAGGGGAAACAGGGGACGAGGCAGAGGAGGAGCAUCUAAUCCUCAAGACAAAUCGAAACAAAGUAAAGAAAAGAAGGAUAGAUCAAGUGUGAUUUGUUACAGAUGUGACAAAGCAGGUCACUUUGCCUCGGUUUGUCCUGACAGAAAACAAACCCAAGAAGCGAACAAGAUAGAAACCGAAGAAGCAGACAAAGCCCUCUAUAUGCACGAGAUCGUAUUCCUCAAUGAAGACAAUGUUGUGCCGAAAAAAUACGAAAAAGAAAAGAAAGAAGACGGAGUCUGGUAUUUAGACAACGGCGCAAGUAAUCAUAUGACAGGAAUAAGAUCAUCUUUCUUGGAGCUGAAUGAAAAUAUCAGGGGAAAGGUAAAAUUUGGAGAUGGAUCAUGUGUGGAGAUCAAGGGAAAAGGCUCUAUUCUAUUCGAAGGAAAGACAGGGGAGCAACAGCUUAUUCCCGACAUCUACUACAUACCUGAACUAAAGAGUAAUAUCUUGAGUUUAGGUCAAGCCACCGAGUAUGGGUGUGAUGUCAGGAUGAAGCAAAACUAUCUCACGGUACAUGAUCAAGCUGGAAGACUUCUAAUAAAAGUCGAAAGAUCUCCAAACCGCCUUUACAAACUAGAACUCAAGAUUGGGAAACCAAUAUGUCUUCAGUCAAAGAUCGAGGAAGAAACAUGGAGAUGGCAUGCCCGACUCGGUCAUGUUGGUUUUAGGACCAUCAAAGCUAUGUCUGAGCAGAAGAUGGUACACGGUUUGCCAAAAAUCGGAACAGAAACACAACUAUGCGAGUCAUGCCUAGUUGGUAAGCAAACCCGCCAAAGUUUUCCAAACGCUACACAAUACCGAUCCUCACAUGCAUUGGAGCUACUACAUGCCGAUUUAUGUGGCCCAAUCGCACCAGCUACGCUAGCCCAGAACCGCUAUAUUUUUGUAAUCAUCGACGAUUGCACAAGAUAUAUGUGGACUAUACUGUUGAAGGAAAAGAGUGAAGCCUUGGAAAAGUUCAAAGCUUUUAGAAAUCUGGUUGAGAAGGAGUGUGAGAAGAUGAUCAAGAUAUUGCGAACAGAUAGAGGGGGUGAAUUCACAUCUGGUGAAUUCCAAGAGUUCUGUAAAAGCAAUGGGAUUAACCGACACUUCACGGCACCAUACACCCCACAGCAAAAUGGGGUGGUUGAAAGAAGAAAUCGUACCCUUAUGGAGAUGACAAGGAGUAUGUUAAAGGCAAUGAGGGUACCAAAUUAUUUGUGGGGAGAAGCUGUACGACACUCAACAUACGUGAUCAACAGAGUGCCCACAAGAGCCUUAAAAGGUCAAACACCCUACGAAUGUCUGAAAGAAAAGAAGCCAAACAUUGGUCAUCUUCGAGUUUUUGGGUGUUUAGCUCACGCCAAAGUCGAUACCACUCAUCUUAAAAAACUUGAUGAUCGAUCACAGGUUUUAGUUCAUCUUGGAAUCGAACCAGGAACUAAGGCAUACAGGCUUUUAAAUCCAUCUACCAGAAGAAUCAUCGUAAGCCGAGACGUAGUUUUUGAUGAGAAGACUGGUUGGAAUUGGAAGGGAGUAACUGCAGAAGAUGAGCCAGGGUUGUUUCGUAUGACUUGGGGAAAUAUUACAGACGAAGGGCACGGACCGUAUAAAGAGAGUAAUGAGCUACCCCAGGACAAUAUCGAAACAGAAACUCAAGCAGAAACAGAGGUUCAAAGCAGCGACAACGAAGUAGAAACUACAGAAGAACAAAGUCAUGAGGAUCCUGCACCCGAUGAUCCUCUCAUCGGUGAACAGCCACGUUUUACAAAGUCUGGAAGACAAGUAAUUCGACCUAAACACCUUGAUGACUAUGUUUUUCUAGCAGACAUCGAGUGUGAAAGAAUCUUGUUGUCGAUAAACGAUGAGCCCCUGAAUUACAACGAAGCAAAAGAAUCGGAAGAUUGGACUCAAGCUUGCAGAGACGAAAUCUCUUCGAUUAAUAAAAACAAGACAUGGACCUUAGUUGACAGACCAAAGGGAGUCAAAGUCAUCGGUCUCAAAUGGGUUUUUAAAAUCAAGAGAAACGCAGAUGGCACUAUUAACAAAUUCAAAGCCAGAUUAGUUGCCAAAGGUUAUGUCCAACAAUCUGGAAUUGAUUUUGACGAAGUAUUCGCACCAGUAGCUCGAAUUGAAACUGUGCGAUUACUCGUAAGUUUAGCUGCUUCUAAUGAAUGGGAGAUCCAUCAUCUGGACGUAAAGACCGCAUUCCUGCACGGAGAACUGAAUGAAGAUGUGUAUGUCUCUCAACCUGAAGGGUUUGAAAAGAAGGGAGAAGAACAGAAGGUUUUCAAACUCUCAAAAGCCCUAUACGGAUUGAGACAAGCUCCGCGAGCCUGGAACACGAAACUGGAUCAGAUUUUAAGAGGAAUGAACUUUCGAAAAUGUUCAAAGGAGAAUGCAGUAUAUCGCAAGGAAGAAGGAGUAAAGCUUCUCAUUGUCGCAAUAUACGUUGACGAUCUGUUUGUUACAGGAAACACCUUGGAGAUCAUUCUAGAGUUCAAGAAAGGAAUGUCAUCAAAAUUUGAGAUGUCGGACCUUGGUAAACUUACGUAUUACCUCGGCAUCGAAGUAAAACAAAGCAAGGAAGGAAUCGAGAUGAAACAAGAAGCAUACGCACGACGAAUUCUAAAGGAAGCAGGUCUAGACACUUGUAAUCCGACUCAUAUACCAAUGGAGUUUGGAUUAAAGCUGUCGAAAGCCCCAGACGAGGAAUCAGAAGAUGCAACAAUGUAUCGCAGGAAAAUUGGUUGCCUGAGAUAUCUCCUUCAUACUAGACCGGACCUAGCAUUCUCAGUGGGAGUUGCAAGUCGAUACAUGCAGGAUCCAAAGAAGUCACAUGGAACAGCAUUAAAACAGAUUUUGCGGUAUUUACAAGGAACUGCAGGUUUCGGUCUAACAUUCAAGAGAGGAGGAACGAAGAAACUAAUCGGUUACAGCGACAGUAGCCACAACGUGGACGUCGAUGAUGGAAGAAGCACAAGUGGACAUGUUUUCUACUUCGACGAUUCGCCCAUCACUUGGAGUUCACAGAAACAACAAACGGUUGCACUAUCAUCUUGUGAAGCCGAGUUCAUGGCUGCAACGGAAGCUGCAAAGCAGGCUAUAUGGCUCCAAGACUUGUUGAGUGAGAUAACUGGACGUAGCUAUGAGAAGACACUAAUUCGUGUUGAUAACAAAUCGGCCAUCGCUCUCACUCGCAACCCUGUUUUUCACGGAAGAAGUAAACACAUCCACAAGAGAUAUCAUUUCAUCCGAGAGUGUGUAGAAGAUGAACAGAUCAUGGUGGAGUUCGUAUCUGGCGAAGAACAGUGUGCAGAUAUACUUACCAAAGCCCUCGCAAGAAUCAAAUUCAAGACAAUGAGAAGACUGAUCGGCGUUCAAGAUCUCUCGGAGUCGGAUUCGAAGCUUAAGGGGGUGAAUGUUGGAUAAGCUUCUUCAGCCCAAGGCCCAAGACGUUGUUAACAAGUCGGUUAACAAUACGAUAGGUCUAAAAGGAUAUUUUCCUUAAUAGGACGUUUUCCUUAUUCUUUUAGAAGUAGGUUUAGGGAAAUUAGAAUCCUAUAUAUAUGUGUUUAUUGAGCUGUGAUAAACACAAGAUAAGCAUAAGAGCUUGGAUGUUUAGUUUUGAGCUAUUUUCUAAUCAUCAAAUAAGAAGAGUUAUUUCUUAUACAAAGAGCUGUGUUCUUGCUUAUACGACUUUA